GCCUCCGUAGCUCAGUGGACAGAGCGGUUGCCUUCUAAGCAAAUGGUCGUAGGUUCGAGUCCUACCGGGGGCG
rnacentral:tRNA from 1 species